CUAAUGUAUCCUUCUCUUGUUGAUU
rnacentral:miRNA from 2 species